rnacentral:rRNA from 1 species
UACAGAGGUCUCAAGCGUUGUUCGGAUUCAUUGGGCGUAAAGGGUGCGUAGGCGGCGCGGUAAGUCGGGUGUGAAAUCUCGGAGCUUAACUCCGAAACUGCAUUCGAUACUGGCGUGCUUGAGGACUGGAGAGGAGACUGGAAUUUACGGUGUAGCAGUGAAAAUGCGUAGAUAUCGUAAGGAAGACCAGUGGCGAAGGCGGGUCUCUGGACAGUUCCUGACACUGAGACACGAAGGCCAGGGGAGCAAACGGG